UGAAAAGUAUUAUAUCCCUAGGUCUUUUGC
rnacentral:piRNA from 1 species